UACGUAGGGAGCAAGCGUUGUCCGGAAUUACUGGGCGUAAAGGGUGCGUAGGCGGCAAGCCAAGUCAGAUGUGAAAUCCCCGGGCUUAACUCGGGGGGUGCAUUUGAAACUGGCUAGCUUGAGUGCAGGAGAGGAAAGCGGAAUUCCUAGUGUAGCGGUGAAAUGCGUAGAUAUUAGGAGGAACACCAGUGGCGAAGGCGGCUUUCUGGACUGUAACUGACGCUGAGGCACGAAAGCGUGGGGAGCAAACAGGAUUAGAUACCCUGGUAGUCCACGCUGUAAACGAUGGAUACUAGGUGUGGGGGAGAUACAACCUCCGUGCCGGAGCAAACGCAAUAAGUAUCCCGCCUGGGGAGUACGGUCGCAAGGCUGAA
rnacentral:rRNA from 1 species